rnacentral:rRNA from 1 species
CAGCAGCCGCGGUAAUACGUAGGUGGCAAGCGUUGUCCGGAAUUAUUGGGCGUAAAGGGCUCGCAGGCGGUUUCUUAAGUCUGAUGUGAAAGCCCUCGGCUCAACCGGGGAGGGUCAUUGGAAGCUGGGAAACUUGAGUGCAGAAGAGGAGAGUGGAAUUCCACGUGUAGCGGUGAAAUGCGUAGAGAUGUGGAGGAACACCAGUGGCGAAGGCGACUCUCUGGUCUGUAACUGACGCUGAGGAGCGAAAGCGUGGGGAGCGAACAGGAUUAGAUACCCCCGUAGUCCCUGUCUCUUAUAC